UACGAAGGGGGCUAGCGUUGCUCGGAAUCACUGGGCGUAAAGGGCGCGUAGGCGGCCAUUUAAGGCGGGGGUGAAAGCCUGUGGCUCAACCACAGAAUUGCCUUCGAUACUGGAUGGCUUGAGACCGGAAGAGGUAAGUGGAACUGCGAGUGUAGAGGUGAAAUUCGUAGAUAUUCGCAAGAACACCAGUGGCGAAGGCGGCUUACUGGGCCGGUUCUGACGCUGAGGCGCGAAAGCGUGGGGAGCAAACAGG
rnacentral:rRNA from 1 species